UCUGGUUGAUCUUGUCAGUAAUGAUAUUGUGUAGAUUAAGAUUAAGCCAUGCAAACACGUGCACGUGACUUUCGAAUCUUCCUGUUGCCGCUCAGUACAUCAUAAUACAAGUAGUUUUACUCACAAAUACAUGGAUCAUUGAAGAAACCCUUCCGUUCAUACAUGAGAGUGGGCCUAUGCUCACGGGCUAAUUUGACCAUCCUUAUGAGAGUCGGAACUAUAUGCAUACAUCACAGGUGUAAUCCACUACUGAUACUUUGAUCCAUUAGAAACGGACUGCGUGGUCAUGUCUAGCAGUUUCGGCCAUAGGUCACGAGGGAUCGGGGUUCGAUUUCGGAGAGGGAGCCUUCAAAAUUGCUACCAUAUCCAAGGAUUGCAGCAGGCGCGGAACUUACUCACUCCCGGUGGUGUGAUGUAGUCGAUUCAUAUUUUGCAUGUGGAUAUGAAGAUUUUAUGUGAGGAUGGUCAAUGGGUAAGAGAUACUUGUAAUGCUAGCGGGGGGGCAAAUCUGGUGCCAGCAGCCGCGGUAAUUCCUGACCCUGGGCCAUAUAUUGCAGCUGGUACGGUUAAAGCGUUCGACUGCCCCAAAGCCAUAUGAAUAUAUCAAGGGCUUAGGUCUUCGAAAUAUCAUAUCUGCAUCCAUUUUACGUUACAAUCGCGCUUAACUGCGAGAUAUGCGUGUCAAGAUGGUUCUUUCAGCAUAAAACACAUGUCUAAGAGUGAUUGUUGGCAUACGUUUCCCGACAGUAAUAUCGAACGAGUUCGUCGCAACUGCCCGUUCACUGCUAAGAUGGGUGUGUCAGAAGGCCUGUGCUGCUGCUCAUGAGAGGUGAAAUUCAAGUAUUGAGCAUGUCCAAACGGAUGCGAUGGCUUUUGCCCCCUGCACGUCGAUCGCAUAAGAAGUCCCGCCUUUUUUUCGAAGACGAUUAGAUACCAUUGUAGUUUCCGCUGUAAACAAUGCCGCUUUCGCUUAGAAUUCGCAUAUUCGUGAAUCGGCUUCUCUGCUUCGGAGAAAUUGAUGUGUUAGGUUCUUGGGGGAGUAUGGUCGCAAGACUGAAACUUAAAAGAAUUGACGGAAGAGCACUACCAGAUGUGGAGUAUGCGGCUUAAUUUGAUUCAACGCAGUUCACCAUAUCUGCAUACAAUAGGGGUCUGAUGGAUGAUUCACAGUAUGGAUCCAAAACUCUCUGAGGUGGUGCAUGGCCGUUUUCAGUUGGUGGGGUGGCCAGUCAGGUUAGUUCCGAUAACGAACGUGACUCCAACAAUUUUUAUUUCCUUGGUGCAUAUUCUUCCUGCGAAGUCGCACAGGAUGAUGAAAGUAGGACUGUUAUAGCAGAGAUAGUGGCAGCCUGGUUCUAUGACAGGUCUGGUAUGCCCCUGGACAUGCAGAGCUGCACGUGUGCUACACUUUGUCUGACAUCGAGGGUAAGAGCACUCGUAUGCACCACCUACACUUGUCAAUCCCACGCGAAAUAUCGAUCGUUGUUUGCUAUUGCCCACCGUGAAGUUGGAAUAUCUAGUAAGUGCGCGUCAUAAUCGUGUUCAGGCUUUGUCCCUGCUCUUUGUACACACCGCCCGUCGCUCCUACUGAUUGGUAGUCCCUGUGAAUAGUUGGAAAGGAAGUUUUUAAAAAUGAACGUUGCCCAUCUGUGGACUGGAACUACUAGAGGAAGGAGAAGUCGUAACAAGGUUCUUGUAGGUGAACCUGCAGGAG
rnacentral:rRNA from 1 species